GCGAGGUUCCGACGUCGGACCCGCGGACGAGGGAGCCGUACCCGCAUCGCGACAAGACGGCCAGA
rnacentral:ncRNA from 1 species